rnacentral:rRNA from 1 species
UGGGGAAUAUUGGACAAUGGGCGAAAGCCUGAUCCAGCCAUGCCGCGUGUGUGAAGAAGGUCUUCGGAUUGUAAAGCACUUUAAGUUGGGAGGAAGGGCAUUAACCUAAUACGUUAGUGUUUUGACGUUACCGACAGAAUAAGCACCGGCUAACUCUGUGCCAGCAGCCGCGGUAAUACAGAGGGUGCAAGCGUUAAUCGGAAUUACUGGGCGUAAAGCGCGCGUAGGUGGUUUGUUAAGUUGGAUGUGAAAUCCCCGGGCGCAACCUGGGAACUGCAUUCAAAACUGACUGACUAGAGUAUGGUAGGGAGUGGUGGAAUUUCCUGUGUAGCGGUGAAAUGCGUAGAUAUAGGAAGGAACACCAGUGGCGAAGGCGACCACCUGGACUAAUACUGACACUGAGGUGCGAAAGCGUGGGGAGCAAACA